rnacentral:rRNA from 1 species
UCUGGCUCAGAACGAACGCUGGCGGCAGGCCUAACACAUGCAAGUCGAGCGAGAUCUUCGGAUCUAGCGGCGGACGGGUUAGUAACGCGUGGGAACGUACCCAAAGGUAGGGAAUAGCCACUGGAAACGGUGAGUAAUACCCUAUGUGCCCUUCGGGGGAAAGAUUUAUCGCCUUUGGAUCGGCCCGCGUUAGAUUAGAUAGUUGGUGGGGUAACGGCCUACCAAGUCUACGAUCUAUAGCUGGUUUUAGAGGAUGAUCAGCAACACUGGGACUGAGACACGGCCCAGACUCCUACGGGAGGCAGCAGUGGGGAAUCUUGGACAAUGGGGGCAACCCUGAUCCAGCCAUGCCGCGUGAGUGAUGAAGGCCUUAGGGUCGUAAAGCUCUUUCGCCUGUGAAGAUAAUGACUGUAGCAGGUAAAGAAACCCCGGCUAACUCCGUGCCAGCAGCCGCGGUAAUACGGAGGGGGUUAGCGUUGUUCGGAAUUACUGGGCGUAAAGCGCGCGUAGGCGGACUGGAAAGUUGGGGGUGAAAUCCCAGGGCUCAACCCUGGAACUGCCUCCAAAACUAUCAGUCUAGAGUUCGAGAGAGGUGAGUGGAAUUCCGAGUGUAGAGGUGAAAUUCGUAGAUAUUCGGAGGAACACCAGUGGCGAAGGCGGCUCACUGGCUCGAUACUGACGCUGAGGUGCGAAAGUGUGGGGAGCAAACAGGAUUAGAUACCCUGGUAGUCCACACCGUAAACGAUGAAUGCCAGUCGUCGGGUAGCAUGCUAUUCGGUGACACACCUAACGG